AUUGAACGCUGGCGGCAGGCCGAACACAUGCAAGUCGAACGAGUGGCGGACGGGUGAGUAAUGUCUGGGAAACUGCCUGAUGGAGGGGGAUAACGACUGGAAACGGUAGGUAAUACCGCAUACCAUCAGAUGUGCCCCGAUGGGAUUAGCUUGUUGGUGGGGUAACGGCUCACCAAGGCGACGAUCCCUAGCUGGUCUGAGAGGAUGACCAGCCAAACUGGAACGGAGAAAGGGCCCACACUCCCAGGGGAGGAAGUGGUGGGGAAACUGGGACAAUGGGCGUAAGCCUGAUGCAGCCAUGCCGCGUGUACGAAGUAGGCGCUCGGGUUGUCGAGUACGUCCAGAUUGGAGGCGUACCCCGUAGAAGAUGCCCAGCCUAACUCCGUGCCAGCAGCCGCGGUAAUAC
rnacentral:rRNA from 1 species